rnacentral:lncRNA from 1 species
AAAAAUGAUGGGCUGAAUUUAAAUUUAAUAAAGCAUCUCAUUAAGACAAACACUCGAUAUAAAUAUCUAGCCAAUUGAAUUUUGGAUACGCAAACGUCAAGUUAUGGUCGACACGAAGCGGUGGUUUUUUUUGCCGAUUUGUGCAAGAUGUUACCUCCCCUUGAUAUUUCAAGUCAAAAAAUGAAACCCAGCAAAAUGAAUAAAAAGGAGUUUACUUUACCAAAAAAA